ensembl:snRNA U6 U6 spliceosomal RNA
GUGUGUAUGGCAGCACAUAUACUAAAAUUGAAAUGAUACAGGAAAGAUUAACACGUCUCCUGCACAAGUAUGAGAUGCCAAUUCAUGAAGCAUCCCAUACUUUU